AAAUGCUUUGCCAACGCUCGGGCAAACAGCACGAAGAAACAGCCACCAGGCUUUGUUUCACACUACCCUAUCUUUGUAUCAAUUGCAGAGGAAAGCUUUGUGGGGCCGUGACACCCAAACCUGGACAUAACCCAUCUACAGAUUGGUAUCAUCAGCAUAUAAUGCUUGAAGCUUGAAAGAAAAUUGAGACACGUAUAAAACUUCACGAGUAAUGUUCUUCACCAAAUGUAACGCAGAUGUUUAUCCUUGUAUUAUGGUACAAAAGAUUAAUCAAGCUGAGGGCAUGUAUACAAAGACUCAAACAUUGCAUGCCUUAUAAACAUCAUUUGUUUAUCAAUAAGUGGGCUUUAAACAAAUGAUGCAUAAAAAAUGGUCCAAUCUCUAGGGUACAUUUACUCAAGAGGUAAUACUCUAAAUAUCAUUACUAGCGCUACAUCCUCAGAAAAGAGAAUAAUCCCUUAAACAUGAAACAGAAAUUUACUAACUCCCUAUUUAAUAUUUUUUUAUCGAACAACGCAUGAAGGCUGCAUGGCAUUUCAUUAAAAGCAAGGUCAAUGGUACAGUCAAGUGCUUGGCUAUAGGUCAAGUUAUAAGAGCUAUGUUAUACAUUACUACAUUAGUCGUCUCUUGUUUAUAUAAAAAGGUUUUUUUAUUAUGUGGUACAAUGUCUCAAAUUCUCUUUUCUGUCUUCUCAAUACACUUGCUACUUGGGCCCACUACGCAUAAGCUCCCGUGCCCAGCAAGUCACUUGCAUGAGAAAUAAGCUCUUGCCUCUUCUCUUCUCAACAUCAGCAUUAGCUUGGCUAUAAGAUCAUUAUUGUACUUGCUCUAAGAAAGGAAAUCGUACAAACAGGAGGGCUACAGCAAACCUUCUUAGUACACACCCUCAUGCCAUAGCCUCUUGUUUUAUUAGUCUAUCAUAUCAAGAUACAGAAUGUUCAGGAUUGCUGUGCUGUGCAUAACACCUAGGAGAGCAACUCAGUAACAAUAAAUCAAGGAACUAAGUGGUUAAAUGUCGGUCACUCUUGUUAUGUCGGCAGUAAUAACCUGACAACCAAUGCCUCACUAGAACUGCUGUACAAUAGAUUUGUCAAGCACUUCAAUAGCUAUAUGAGAAUAUUCAUGUGUAAACAGUAGUAAUACUGACAGUUGGUGCUAUGGCAAGGCUUAAUGAGGCUUAUCACUUCAAAUGGGACUGUAUGGUAUCUUCUCUAUUAGUUGGGAAUGAAUUAUUUACAUCAACUAACUACAACUAUUAAUAGAGCCAUGUACAUAGUGAGAUGUGUUGCAAUAAUUCCAAAUAGAUCCGCCUCCCUAGAUCUAUUCCCUAUCUGUCUAUCAACAUCUUUUUUAUGAAUUGUCAAAAGAUCACGACAGGAGCAUUAUGAAAUGCAAACUUCCAAUUUCAUAAUGCUAUUUUCCUGCAUCUCUAUCUGCAUCAAAGAGAUCGAAAACCUUCUCAGAUGAUCAUGCAUACAGCAGACCUCCACAAGAUACUGGCCUUAUGUUUUCUAAGCAUUAAGCAACAGUGGUAUAUUAAGGGACGUAAGCUGGAGUCCUUGACAACAAGCCAUCCAGACCACAAGGUGUAUCACAUGGUGAAAAGAUCCCCAAAUGCAUUGUAUCAUGCCAGAGAUUCAGCGACUUAUGUAGUUGUAACCUAUACCCUUUAUUUUUUAUUUGUAGAUGUUGUGAACAUAUUUAGAAGGGGCUAACUGCCAAGUAGACUAAAUACUGAUGUAAGAACUUUACAAAAGUGUACAGCUAGUUCACUAUUGUACAAUUCAUAAUGGGUAUGAAACUUCUCCCUUGUAGGCAUGACCCAAUAUGAGAUUUAAGAAAUGAUCUCUAAAAUGGUUUCAAAGAUGACAAGGUGACCCAAGGCACACACCUUAUCAACUAGGCGGCAAGGCAUAACUAGACACCGAAGGUGAGCUGCAGCCACCUGGACACCUAGGUGCCUAAGGGAGAGAGAACUCUAGACUGAAGAAACAUAAGCCUAAGUGCCUAGGCAACACCUUUGAAACAGAGAUCUUUAGACUGAAGAAACAUAUGCCUAAUACAUAGAACAUAUAGAAAAAGAAACCUUCCAAACUAACAGAACUGUUCUUAUCUCUAGUUUUCAACUCACAAGGUGCUGGUGGGUUUUGCAGAAACAGUGUGGGUGAUAUAUGAACCACGAAUAGGUGUGUAGAUAUUAAUGCAAUUGUAUAACAUGACAAGAUUAGGCCUCUAAUUCAUAAGCCUGCAUAAAAGUGCAUCUACCAACAUGUGUAUUCCACCUCAAAGGUGUUCAGAUUAAAAUAUUAAAUUGCAUUGGUAAACGAGGUUUGCCCUGUCAUUUAUCAUAGCGGAAUAACAAAGUGGUUCAGACUGAGAUACUAGAUUCCCCCUCCCUCCUGUGCCGCACACUGUCCCUGCCCCUGCUGCCCAGGCUGCCAGCCUCCUACGGCACGGGCACCAUGGCCACCGCCAUGUCCCCGUCGUCCUUUGCCCUCCAACCUCCUUCCACUACAAUCUACGCUUCUCAUCCCCUACCAAUCUAAGCCCAUCACAAAGACAUAUAUAGUUUAUCAUUAUUUACAUUUAGCUAUUCAGUCCAAUAUUAUACACCUUCCAAGUGGAUCCCUUCUAUCCCACAGAAAAGUUUGCCCUUUCUGCACUUGAUACCCUUAUCUAUAGCUACCAAUCCUCAAAAGUUGUUCAUCCAUAUUCUUUAUUAAUGAUAAUGAUAGGUAAAGUUCUGAAAAACAGGAUCCAUUAACCUUACUAAACCGCUUGAAAACUUCACUAGGAUGAAAUUUCUAGGGAACAUGGAUAAAUCUCUCUGAACCAGGUGCUGACUGCUACGAUCCCAUUGAUUAGCAGUGCUACUGAAGAAUAAUGGCCAAUUAAGCACAAAUUCAUAAUAGUAAGAAACAAUCUAUUCAUUCAAAGAGGACCAGGCUUAGCCCGGGUGGUGAAGGCGGCGAGGUCCCCUUCACCAGGUCGGGGAUUCGAUCCCCGAUUUCUCACAAAAAAAUCUGCUUGCUGUCCUCACCCGCUCUCAGGGGAGCGACUCGGCUGUGGCUGGCUCUGGCCUGGGUGGGCCUUUGCAGUGUGGAAAGCCUGUGAGUCGACCCGUUAGUGACGGGAGGGCAGGGUUCGGGGGUUUCUCGGUCAGGAUCGUUCGCUGUGAUCUUCUAUCCAUGGAAAGCCGCGAGGGUGGUCUUACCCUCCCCGGUCGAGUUUUUUUUAAUAUAUUCAUUCAAACUGCAAAUGAUGUCAAACACAUGCAAGUAAGAUAAAAUAUAAAACUCAAGUGAAAGAAGAAAGUGUACUUGACACCAUAGGACUGCUUUGUCUCAGCAACAGCAGAUGAUUAUAAGAAAAUCGUGUGCCAAGUACCACAAUAUAAACAGAGUGUUAUUGGCAUAAUUGGGGCCAAGAGCUCAACAGAAUCUACUAUCUUACAAAAGGGUGUUUCCACUGUUCAUCUUUGAGAAACAAUUGUUGUCUUAAUAGUUGGACAUGACUAGUGUCAGUUUAGUCUUUGUUACCAUCAGUUCUGAUGAAAAUAUACUCACACAUCAACGCUACAAGUGUUCCCGACAUGACUUAUAAAAAGUUUCUAUUUAUUGUGACAUUGAAACAAAACUGAGUGCAAAUAAAUAACUAGAAACAGUUGUAUCUAUGCUACAAAUGUAAAAGUUGAAAUGCACAAGCACAUAUUAGUUAUGAUAAACUUACAGAUCAAAUCUUUGAUAUGGUUCCUCAAUUUGUCUGGAGUCCAGCAACAUAGUUAUCUCUGGAGCACUUUCGCCCAUCGUAGUCCUUACUCCUUAGGUGGAUGAAAUGAAUUAUUUUAGUACUGCACCCAGCAGGUACACAGUUUUUUGUUCAUUCUGGAAGAUUGCACUGGAGAUGACAUGCAAAACAAUCAGGGUACUGCACAGAAUGCGCUUGCCUUCACCGCCACCCAUCAAUAAACUUAUGGCUUGAUUACAACAGCCAUGAAACAAGACAGACCAUCAAGAUCAUAGGAUCUUGUGACGAGAUGAAUACAACUAGCUCCAUCCUA
rnacentral:lncRNA from 1 species